UGGUCAAAAGAAAAUUUGAAAUUGAAAAACUAAUUGAAAAAAAAAUGAAACAAAACAAAACAAAAAU
rnacentral:rRNA from 1 species